rnacentral:rRNA from 1 species
UGGGGAAUAUUGCACAAUGGGCGCAAGCCUGAUGCAGCAACGCCGCGUGGGGGAUGAAGGCCUUCGGGUUGUAAACCCCUUUUAGCAGGGAAGAAGCGAAAGUGACGGUACCUGCAGAAAAAGCGUCGGCUAACUACGUGCCAGCAGCCGCGGUAAUACGUAGGACGCAAGCGUUGUCCGGAAUUAUUGGGCGUAAAGAGCUCGUAGGCGGUUUGUCGCGUCUGCUGUGAAAUUCCGAGGCUCAACCUCG